UACGGAGGGGGCGAGCGUUAUUCGGAAUUAUUGGGCGUAAAGGGCGCGUAGGCGGCCUGGUAAGUCCAAGGUGAAAGCCCUCGGCUCAACCGAGGAAUUGCCUUGGAUACUGUCAGGCUCGAGGCUGGAAGAGGGCAGUGGAAUUCCUGGUGUAGCGGUGAAAUGCGUAGAUAUCAGGAGGAACACCGGUGGCGAAGGCGGCUGCCUGGGCCAGUUCUGACGCUGAGGCGCGAAAGCGUGGGGAGCAAACAGG
rnacentral:misc_RNA from 1 species